UGGUAGUGUAUUGGACUACCAUGGCUUUCACGGGUAACGGAGGAUUAGGGUUCGAUUCCGGAGAGGGAGCCUGAGAAACGGCUACCACAUCUAAGGAAGGCAGCAGGCGCGUAAAUUACCCAAUCCUGACUCAGGGAGGUAGUGACAAGAAAUAACGGACCGGAGCCUAUGUUCCGGGAUUGCAAUGAGUAGAAUUUAAACCCCUUUACGAGGAUCAAUUGGAGGGCAAGUCUGGUGCCAGCAGCCGCGGUAAUUCCAGCUCCAAUAGCGUAUAUUAAAGUUGUUGCAGUUAAAAAGCUUGUAGUUGGAUUUCUGAGGGGGUGCCAAUGUCCGCUCGUUGCGUGUGCAGCGGCGCCCCCUCAUCCUUCUGUUAACGUUUCUGAUAUUCACUUAUUGGUCUCGGGCUCAGAUAUUUUACCUUGAGAAAAUUAGAGUGUUCCAGGCAGGCUCGCGCCGGAAUACAUUAGCAUGGAAUAAUAGAAUAGGACUUUAGUCUCCUUUGUUGGUUUGAGGGACUGAAGUAAUGAUUAAUAGGGAUAGUUGGGGGCAUUAGUAUUUAAUUGUCAGAGGUGAAAUUCUCGGAUUUGUUAAAGACUAACUUAUGCGAAAGCAUUUGCCAAGGAUG
rnacentral:rRNA from 1 species